GAGCGUGUUUCUCUGUGGGGGAUGUGCGUGUCUGAGCUCCAGUCCCCCACUCUCCUGGCAGCCCACGGUGCUGCCGCUGACCACACGCCCCUCCUUCGUCCCACCCCAGUGUGAAAACGAGUCCGCGCUGAACCUGUAUGAGACCNUGACGGUGAAAGCGGGCACGCUGGAGAAGCUGGUGGAACACCUGGUGCUCGCCUUCCGGGACAGCGAUCUCUCCUAUGUCACUGUCUUCCUGUGCACCUACCAAGCCUUCACCACCACCCAGCAGGUCCUGGACCUGCUGUUCAAAAGAUACGGAUGCAUCCUCCCUUAUUCUGACGAGGACGGCGGGCCCCAGGACCAAUAAAAAUGCCAUCUCCUCCAUUCUGGGCACCUAGCUGGACCAUACUCGGAGGACUUCUGUCAGCCCCCAGACUUUCCCUGCCUCAAGCAGCUGGUGGCCUACGUACAGCUCAACAUGCCUGGUUCCGACCUGGAGCGCCGUGCCCACCUUCUGCUUGCCCCGCUGGAGCACGCAGGGCCCCCGGAGGCCGAGCCCGAGGCUCCAGCGCCAGUUCUGAAAACGGCUCCAGAACUAGAGCCAGCUUUAGCACCAACUCUCCUGCCCGCCCCAGAGCUCCAGGCAGCCCCAGCACCCACCCCAGAGCCCGAGGCAGCCCCAGCACCCGCCCCAGAGCCCGAGGCAGCCCCGGCACCUGCCCCAGAGCAAGAGGCAGCCCCGGCACCUGCCCCAGAGCCCGAACUAUCUCUGUCACAAACUCUCUAGCUGGAGGCAGCUCCAGCACCCGGGUCUCCCUGGCCUUCACCUGUGGCUGCAGAAAAUGGCCUGAAUGA
rnacentral:lncRNA from 1 species